rnacentral:lncRNA from 1 species
CUAUGUUGCUGAAUUUCCCAACAAAAAUGCUGGAUGUCCCUAGCAGCAUUAUGGUUGUAUAGGCUGCUGCAUGGCCCGUUGUAUUUUCGGCCCAUUUAGUAUUUUGGUUAGGAAGCCUUUCGAAAAAAUAAUAUUGUGAAAAUUUUGGUUAAAAAUACCUUUUCUAUAAAUGUUUGGGUACGGUUGACUGUGUGAUUAACUUUAUGUUCUUUUGUUUGUCUCAUGCCAUGAUCACUCCUUGUGAUUCAAGCCAUCCUUCUCAGUUUUUUUUAAUAAUAAUUUGGUUGUUUUGGUGAUUAAUUUGUUUAUGUUCUUGUCUACUUUGGUUAGGGGUACCUUUUUCUAUAAUUGUUUGCGUACAGGUGAACAGGCCAUUAACUUUAUGUUCUUUUGUUUGUGACCUGGCUUAAUCACUCCUUACAUUUAAGUCAGCGUUCUUAGGAGCAAUUACUUGUAAUUUUGUUUUUUAUUUUUAUUUUUAUUUUUAUUUUCUAUUUUUAAUUUGAAAUCAUAAAACUGUUAUUGUUAUUUUUCUAUUUUUAAUUAUUUGAAUAGGAAAAACUUUGAAAAUAAUAUUAUUUGUUUUUUUUUUCUGUUUCCUGUACAAACAUUUGAAAACAGGAAACAAAUGUAAGGUGACGGAUUUUGUAAUUUAAAAUAUAAAUAGAAAACCAAAACGGAGACCAAAAUUUCAAGCAAACGUGUUAUGUGUCUUGCGAACAUUAGAAGGUAGCAGGUAUAAAUUUUAAUGUUAAUCAAGCUAGUGGCAACAUCAACUGUAUUCUAAUAAUGGUCAGUUUUUCUUUUUAUUUUCAUUUUUAAAUUAAGCUG